UUUACAAUUUAUAAAACCCUAAAUAUCUUUCUACAAAUGGUAUGUAGUUUAGAGGUCGUUGGUUCCUGUUACGCUUGAGACGAACCUAAUAUUACAUGUUGUGAUUGUUGGCCUGAAGGGAUUACAGUUUUCAGCCCAGAACCUCUUGGUAUUAAAAACAAAAUUGGUCUGUAGUUUGUUUGAGGAGGUAUAAAAAGUCGAAUCAGUCAAAGAUACUAGAGGAUGUACUAGA
rnacentral:sRNA from 1 species